rnacentral:rRNA from 1 species
UACGAAGGGGGCUAGCGUUGCUCGGAAUCACUGGGCGUAAAGGGUGCGUAGGCGGGUCUUUAAGUCAGGGGUGAAAUCCUGGAGCUCAACUCCAGAACUGCCUUUGAUACUGAGGAUCUUGAGUUCGGGAGAGGUGAGUGGAACUGCGAGUGUAGAGGUGAAAUUCGUAGAUAUUGGGAGGAACACCGGUGGCGAAGGCGGCCCCCUGGACCGGUACUGACGCUGAGGCGCGAAAGCGUGGGUAGCAAACGGG